GAUUAAGCCAUGCAUGUCUGAGUUCACACCCUCGCAUGGUGAAACCGCGAAUGGCUCAUUAAAUCAGUCGAGGUUCCUUAGAUGAUCCAUUUCUACUUGGAUAACUGUGGCAAUUCUAGAGCUAAUACAUGCAGACCAGCUCCGACCCGGUGUCGCAGCCGGGAAAGAGCGCUUUUAUUAGUUCAAAACCAGUCGGCGGGUCCGCGCGCCCUUCGCGGGGUGCGUGCGGCCAGCCGUCCCCUUUUGGUGACUCUGGAUAACUUUGUGCCGAUCGCAUGGCCUCGAGCCGGCGACGCAUCUUUCAAAUGUCUGCCCUAUCAAAUGUCGAUGGUACGUGAUAGGCCUACCAUGUUGACUACGGGUGACGGGGAAUCGGGG
rnacentral:rRNA from 1 species